AAGAGUUUGCAUAGUAUACUUGAUAAACAUUUGAAAAAAGAUGGAAUGUUUCUUUCACUCUAUGCAUCAUGCUUAUGUGACGGGGAAGGAUUGGAUUUCUUUUUUCCAACUUAGUACAUAUUGAUUUAUCGGUUAAUAUGUCAGUCAAACUUGAGUAUAGAAUGUGUGUUUAUUCAAGUAUACCAGUUUUGGUUAGUCUAUUAGAACUAGCAAGACCAGGAAAGAAAAAAUGAAGAAGAUCAUCCAUUUAUUCUGUUACUAGCUCUGACGAGUAAUCUCCUGCUCUUCGAGAAUAUAUCCUAACCGGAAGAUUUGCCCAGCCUAUUCCCAUGUAAGAGUGAGGCAAGAGAUUUAACUUUUAUUUACAAAGAAAAAAUCUUUCCAUUUGGUGUAAAGAAAAGUAGGAUGAAGCAAACAAUGAAGGAUCAGAACAACAGCUUCUGUAGUAUCAGGAAUUCUGCCUUUCCCAAUCAGCUUUCUUUCCUUUUUGGCCAUUUUUGACGCUGGUAAGAGUUUGUGACUUUAAAUAUAGUCCAUAAAUCAGAUGAAUAGGCCAAAGUUCAGCAAAAAAGAACAAAACUUUGGCUAAAAAGUUUUAUGACAAAACUAAUGAAUCCAG
rnacentral:lncRNA from 1 species